CCCGAGCUGGACGGAUCGACCGACCGACCGACCGAACCAGCUCCCCCGUGUCGUCCUCUGUUUCGUCUCCAGCGGAGCGGCGGUGCAGCCACUCCGGCGUGGCACGGCGACUCCAGCGGCUCCGGAGGCGCGGAGACCCCAGCCACCAGGAAGCAACCGCAGGCGGCUCGGCUACUCCGGCACUACGGGCGCCGCUAUUCCCCCAGCACCACGGGCCCGGCGGCGAAUCUGGCGAGCACGGGUGCCGCACCUCCGGCGACUAGAAUGUGGAAGAGAAAAGUUCAUCCUGAAGCAGUCAGCGACAAAUAUUUAGUGGAAUGCCCAACGAAUGGAGGGAUAUGAAGGUUACUUCUCUGUUCUUUAAUGUUCAGAGUCAACAAGAAACUUACUGAAUUUUGUAUGUCAUAUGAUUUUCCUGAUGUCUGCUUCAAGCAAGUAUGUUUGGACAGGUGAAAGACUGGCGUUCCUUCAUGUGGCUGGACAAGUAGUUGGGCAUGGUCGACGAAAUUUGGAUGAUAAAUGUGCUCAUCAUGGGCAAUGCGGCUGCUCGUAGCUUUCACGAGAAAUGCAGCGACGCAUAUAUGCUACAAGCGCUGAAAUUGAUGCUACAAUAGCUCAACUUGAUGCUAUUAGGAUUGAGACUGCAGCACUGGAUCGACGUAUCGAGAAGUUGGCCGCCCAAAAUGCAAAGCUUCAGGUUUUAGUGUACUUUCUUUUCGUCAUUCUUCUUCUAGUGUUGCUAGCGAAGUGGAAUAUCCGCGCAAUUGACCGUGGUCGCCAUCCUGUAUGAGACGGUGCUCGGUCUGUCAAAUGGGACGAACAUGUCGGGCUGGUUGGUUCUGUUGAGAUAUGUAGAGUUUGGAGAAAUUGCAAAUUUACCAAGGGGCAAGACCUUCAUUUCACGUGGUAUUAGUAGGCUCAGAAUUUUGAAAUUAUUCAAGUAAUUAGACAGGGCGAAUGACCAAGAAGGCAAAGAAAAUGAGGGCAUAUAAUCCCCUGCAAAAAUAAAAUAAAAUAAGGGUACAUGAUCGAAUCUCCCUGAAGACUUCCGUGUCCUUAUCCCAGAUGGCUUUGGGAAAAGAUAAAUGUAGUGGCAAAAUAAGAAACAAACUGACUGGUUGCAUACUCUCAACAACAACAAAAUGAAUAAACUGUUACUUCGGCAAAUAUUAACAAGCUAACUGUCAAAUCGAAAUGUCGCUUCAUUUAUCAACAAAAUGUAUUGUUACAGGACUCUUCUAAGUUCAAACAUAUAGAUCUGUUCAGUGAGGACCCAUAGUUUCCUAUUUAUUCAAAUGCAUGCUCCAAUGCCAUUUAAGUAGUUGUGUUGUCUUAUCGUUUGAGUUUUUUCUUUUCCAGAUUCUCGCUGAUCCCAUUCAUUUGAAAAGCCGAACGAUGAGAGUGCUCUAAAAUUGAUGAAUGCUUCUGCUUCUCUUAUGAUGGAGUGAUUCCCUGAUAUCAUCUUUGGCUAUGGUUUUAGCAACUGGUGCAGUUAGGAUAUACCCCGUCAGAAUCACUGUUUUUGCAAGGAGAGAACAUGUGUUUCCGCAUGGCGCAAAUUUUCCUCUUCUCAUCAGCAGAAGUGAUUUGAUUGAAUUUAUUGGAAUGAUAAGAUAUCUUGUUAAAACCGUAAUAAAUUAACCAUCCAAUGAAGCUGUAAAUGUGAACCUGGGACACUUAAGUUAAGUGGGUGUUUUUAUGUUUGCUGGAUGGCUAACCUAUGCAUUUGUUGCAGAUGAUCAUAUUUAUUUUUUGUUAUUGUUGCAGCUUUGUGUUCCAGGAGAACACUGAAUUUUAUCAGAGAGAUGAGUGAUUAAUCCUUUCUUCAUGGUCACCAUGUCUCACUUCUUUUUACAUGAUGAAGUGGAAAGAAUAUUUCCCAAAUAAAGAAUUAGUGCAGCCACCACAGUUUGAAGCAGAGGUUCUAUGUUACCCAAAGCCAGAGAUUGUUUGUGAUUAUUUGUCAUGGAGACAAGCAGAAUAAACCAGUUCAAACUUGCUUUUGGAUGCUAGUGAAGUCCGGAAAAGGCGAAUAUGGAGCUCAUGAGGGAAUAUUAUCAACGGACAAGAACGAUUUGCUCUUUCAGCGGUUUCGGAUGAACUACAACAACGACCCGGAGAUGUUCCAGAAGGGUUCGUGUACUUGCCAGCGAAAGGUAUUCUGUUCAUCAUCCGAGAGAUGUUUUUCAACAGCAAUGAGAAGUACUGCUAUGAUGAGAAGAAGAUGAUUCUCGUAGCUUGCACCAGUUUCUCCGCUAAUGGCCUACAGUGCAGGUGGUCCAAACCACAACCUUGAACUUGCUUAAUCGUUUUGAUCUCGGUUCUCUUUUCUUCUUUCUCCUACCCUCUCUCUGCCAGCCAUGAUUCUCUCCAGCCCAUGCCCUGGUUAAGAGGCAACUUGCUGCCGCUGGUGCUCAUACAUCCGCCUGCCGUGAGCGGCGGCACUUCCUCACCUCUCCCACUCAUCCUCCCACACCCUGCCACCACUGCUCCUGCGUUUGGUGACGUCGGCCCGCUGCUGCUCGCCGCUCACGGUUGUGCUUUCCCAGCUCUCUUGCUCGUCUGGACUCCCCAUGACGUGACCUGUUCUUCCCACCGGCUCCGAGCUCCAGGUAUUUCAUCCUUCAACCGGCUACAUCUUCUGUGUUGGAUGUCAUGUGGAGUUGUUUUGAAGAAACUGGACUAAAAGUAUAGGGGGCCAAUGGGGACCUCUCUCUUCCAACAAGAAUGAGAAGAAGAUGUUUGCAGGGGUGGAAGACGGCGGAGAUGUGAUUUCGCCGGAGAGCGACGGGAGGUAGGGCCAGAUAGUGAUAGUUUUGGAGAAUGAUAUCUUUAACCGGAACCGGAAAUGAUAUGUUUCUUUUAAGAGGGGAAAGAAAUGAUGUGUUUCGAAACGACACGGUUGGUAAAAAGGACGUCGUGCGUUCGAUCUCUCGACCGGCUUCCCGUACGUACGUAAAUAGUGACUUUUUAUUUCACGCGCGCCUCGGUUGGGCCUCGUACGCGCGCCUGCCCAUGCGGGCGAGACCGCACGGUUCGCAGGUUCGAUUUGUCCCACAUCGCCCGUCGUGGGACGGGACCUUCAGUUUAUAUACUGCGUUGAUUAUCAUGGUAUCACCUCCACGGGGACAACAGACUGAGAAAACAAAAAGAAAUAAAAGAGGCCUCAGAGCCCACAAAAGAAGAGAAAAGAGGCCUUAGAGAGCCCAAGAAAAAAAAAGGAAAGAGGCGGAAGAAAAAGAGGAGCCCAAGGAAAAAAAAGAAAAGAGGCCUUAGUGCCCAAGAGGCCAGAGCCGAAAAAUCCUCAAGGCCCGCGUGCCCACACAAAAAGAGAACAAAACAGUGUACCCAUGGAAGGUGUUGUGCUAGCUUUUU